rnacentral:rRNA from 1 species
GAGUUUGAUCAUGGCUCAGAUUGAACGCUGGCGGCAUGCCUUACACAUGCAAGUCGAACGGCAGCAUGAUCUAGCUUGCUAGAUUGAUGGUGAGUGGCGAACGGGUGAGUAAUACAUCGGAACGUGCCCUGUAGUGGGGAGUAACUAGUCGAAGAUUAGCUAAUACCGCAUACGACCUGAGGGUGAAAGUGGGGGACCGCAAGGCCUCAUGCUAUAGGAGCGGCCGAUGUCUGAUUAGCUAGUUGGUGGGGUAAAGGCCCACCCAAGGCGACCGAUCAGUAGCUGGUC